GAUGAACGCUGGCGGCGUGCCUAAUACAUGCAAGUCGAGCGAACAGAUGAGGAGCUUGCUCCUCUGACGUUAGCGGCGGACGGGUGAGUAACACGUGGAUAACCUACCUAUAAGACUGGGAUAACUUCGGGAAACCGGAGCUAAUACCGGAUAAUAUAUUGAACCGCAUGGUUCAAUAGUGAAAGACGGUUUUGCUGUCACUUAUAGAUGGAUCCGCGCCGCAUUAGCUAGUUGGUAAGGUAACGGCUUACCAAGGCAACGAUGCGUAGCCGACCUGAGAGGGUGAUCGGCCACACUGGAACUGAGACACGGUCCAGACUCCUACGGGAGGCAGCAGUAGGGAAUCUUCCGCAAUGGGCGAAAGCCUGACGGAGCAACGCCGCGUGAGUGAUGAAGGUCUUCGGAUCGUAAAACUCUGUUAUUAGGGAAGAACAAAUGUGUAAGUAACUAUGCACGUCUUGACGGUACCUAAUCAGAAAUCCACGGCUAACUACGUG
rnacentral:rRNA from 1 species